CCCCCUCCCGAAUCAGCGCAGCUCCCUCUCCACUCGUCCAAACCCUAGCCGCGCCCUCCUCCGUGCGCCGCCGCCCCCAUCGAUUCCGCCCAACACCGCCGUCCCCCUCUACUCGCUCUCCUCCAUGAGCCGGAUCCCAACCUCCUCCGGCUCCCCUUCCACUCACUCUCCCGAAUUCCGCACACCCACAACCGCCGCCCUCUCCCACCCUCAGAUCUCGAUCCGAUCCAGAUCAACGCCGCCACAGCUUCCCCUCGCCGGCGGCGGCGCGCUCCCUCCCUCGCCCUCUCCUCCUUCCCUCCUCACGAGCGCCUCCACCACGCCACAAACCCCGGCGACGGCCUCGUGUAGAUCCCAUCCUGCUCCGUGUCGCUGCUCUCCCGGCCAUCUCUCCGUUCCCCCAUAGCCACACCUCAUCCUCGUCCCCCUCCCCCGGUCCCGUCCCUAGCCCCGCCCGGAUGGGGACGGGACUCUCGCCGCUGCACGCAGACGCAGAGGAGGAGAGGGAGUCGACGAGCGAUGGCGGCUGGGACUGGUCGGGUGCUGCCGCCGCUGGCCGUGGUGGCGGCGCUCGCGGCGGCGCUCCUCUACACCGCGCCCUUCUCCAAGAGCCUCGGCGGGGAAGGGUGCAGCCUGCUCCCGCACGGCCACUUCUGGAUCGCUAGCCAGCGGGUCGUUUGUGCUUUUGCAGGGUUCUGAGGCUGCAGCCUGGGCACCAUCAGGGUGGACUACAUAGCCAGCGACCAGCGAGUGCAUGGGUGGCGCAAGUGGUGAAGGAGAGCGGUCGGAGACUGUAAUUGAGCUUGUGCUAGUGCUGCUGAUCCUGCUUGGAUGGGCAUGCUGCCUCUUCCAUGUGGACUACAUGACAACCAUGAUUUUGGCCUUCAUUCCUCAAAAGUUGGCGUACAAGGAACUCCAGGAGAAUAAUCCCGAAGAAAACCCUGUAGCUGGAGCUGGCCAUAUUAAUAUUUAGUUGUAUUUUAUAGUUGAAUACCUGAUUUAUACUGCCAUGAUUGUAAAGUACUUUAGUUGCUGUUUAAAAUAUGAUGUAUUAUUGGCUCUGUUUGAAUCAAGUUAUUUGUUGUGUGUUAUGUGUUAUUUGAAUC